UACAGAGGUCCCAAGCGUUGUUCGGAUUCAUUGGGCGUAAAGGGUGCGUAGGCGGCGCGGUAAGUCGGGUGUGAAAUCUCGGAGCUUAACUCCGAAACUGCAUUCGAUACUGCCGUGCUUGAGGACUGGAGAGGAGACUGGAAUUUACGGUGUAGCGGUGAAAUGCGUAGAUAUCGUAAGGAACACCAGUGGCGAAAGCGGCUUCCUGGUCCAGCACCGACGUUCAGGCACGAAAGCGUGGGGAGCAAACAGG
rnacentral:rRNA from 1 species